rnacentral:lncRNA from 1 species
CCUUCUUUUGGACUAAGUUUCAAAUUUUGAAACAUGAAAAUUCAAAGGUGGAGUUAAUUUUAAAAGAAAAUGUCCAAAAAUUAUGAAAACAACUUUUUGAUUCGAAUCAUGGCAGGAGUAAAUUUUAUGACCACAAAAAAAAAUUUUAAGCAAUAAAAUUUCUAAAUUUCAUGACAUAUAUUCUAUUAUAUAUAUAUAAAACCGGAGCAACCGCGUUAAGGCAUCUCCAUUCGACACGUGGUUAAACAGUUGCAUGACACAUCACUAAAAAAAAAAAGGCUCGGUCUUGCGUCCGCUUUUCUCCCCGAACGAUGAAGAGAGGGCCGGCCCCUCAACUCCCCACUACCAUGACUACUCCGACGAUGCCGUUCACGUUCCCGAAUCAUGCCCUCACAACUCUCUUGUGCGCUGUCAAAACACCACGCGGAAGAGGAGAAAGAAAAGACCUAACGCUAGAUUCAGCAAGAAGGGGACGAGUGAAGAAACCUUGAGCCUCACCCCAGGAGUUGGAGAAAUUUACAAUUUUUCCCUCUAAGUUUCUUCUCCCCUCCCUCCUCUAUCCAGCGAGCCCUCCAGAGAAAAAAACCCUCACAACGAGUUCGUGAUGCGCUUUCGUUUGUUUUCCUGCUCUCCCUCUCUCCUCCCCCUCCUGCUCUCUCUCUCCUGUCUCCCCUCUCUCCGCCAACCCCGGCCUUUUAUUUCUUUUUCAUUUUAAUUUGAGUUUUUAUUUUUGAUUUAUUUAAGUUUUGGUUGGGUUCGAUGGCUCGGGGUGAGGUGUUGGGUUUGAGCCUGGCAACUGUUGGGCGGAGACGAACCGGGUCCGCACGGGCUAGGGGUGGGACGCCUUUGUUUUAUUUUGGGCGGCGGAGCAAAUGGGAACCGUUGAAUCAGAUGUCGCAGAUUGAUGACAUGGACCAUUUGGACGGUAGAUGUGGGUUUGAGUGCGUUGUGUUUCUUUUGUGAGAGAGAGAAAAAGAAGCGCGUUAGCGGGGAUUUUUUUUUCUUUCUUUCUUUUUUUCUGAGUUGUGGUGGGAGACUUGGGAAAGUAGAUAAUAUCAGUGGAGAAAGCGUGAGCUCCUCUCCAUCGACAACAUAAAAUCAACGAUUAAUGGGUGCAUGUCUCCUCCCACCAGCAAAUGGAUGGGUGGUCACAAAGCUGUUAAGUGGAAAGACUUUAACAAAAUGGUUGCACGGACAUAAGGAGAGGCAAAGAGAAAGGUCAAUACCUCUUCCCCCUUUGAAAGAAAGGUUAAAGAAGGCGUUGGAAGUUGCUCAGGCAGUGCAAUAUCUUCAUGAACAAAAACCCAUGGUCAUCCACAGAGAUUUGAAGCCAAGUAACGUACUCCUGGAUGAUUGUUCGCAUGUUCGGGUGGCUGACUUUGGGCAUGCUCGGUUCCUACCUGAGGGAGAGGUAGCACUGGCAGGUGAAAUAGGUAAAGGAAGGAGAUGGGCCUAACAGGUUCGGAUUUUGGGUCCCAAUCCGAUCUGAAAUCCGGCUGGAUCCAUUUAUUUAAACAA